rnacentral:lncRNA from 1 species
CCUUUGUUGCAUGUCUCACAAUUCCACUCACAGCCACUAUAUCUGCAUUUUCUCUAAAUUUUGGUACUUCAUUUGACUCAAGUCCAGUUAUAUAGUGAUUAUAAAUUUAAGUACAAUGUUUCAAAAUUUCAUUUUCUAAAUUGAAUUGUUCUGUGCACUAUCCAAAUGUUCCCCUGCAAAGUAGUGAGCACAUUGGGUUGUAUCCACUUAUGGUAUAUGUAAAACAAAAAAGUCCUUUUUAUGAACUGACAAUUGUUAAUAUUGUUAUUGAAUUCUUUCCUAGACCAUGCCUCUGGUUUUCUCCAAUUGUAUAUUCUGUUAAUAUUGAACUGACAAUUAAUAUUGUUAUUGAACUGACAAUUGUAUAUACUGUUCAAUUGUUGUGUAUAAAGACCAAAUAAGUAGUUAAUAGUCAUUCAUUUAUGUUCUUGACUUGAUAUCUUAAUAUACUUU